UUUUUUUUUUUUUAGGUCCACACCCCUGGCAUAUGGAAGUUCCCAGGCUAGGGAUGGAAAUGGAGCUGCAGCUGCCAGCCUACACCACAGCCACAGCAAUGUGGCAUCCAAGCCACAUUUGUAACCUACACCAAAGCUCAUGGCAAUGCUGGAUCUUUAAUCCACUAAAUGAGGCCAGGGAUUAAACCUGUGUCCUCAUGGAUACUAGUCAGAUUUGUUACCACUGAGUCACAACAGGAACUCCAAGAAACUAACUUUAAAUCUCCUUAAAAGGGACUUUGCCAGGUCCUCCUCAUUAUCCAUAUGACAGUCAGACUUCAGGGAUUUGAUGCACAUCUCAUAGUUGGAAAAGGCCCCACCUGACACCUGGCCUUAUACAAACACUGGAGACCUCCAAAUUGCACUGAUGAGGAAAAGAAGUAGCUCACAUGGAUGUAGACUGCUACUUCCCAAGGUGCUAGAUCCAGACACCUACUUCAGCUAAACAUGAAACACUUUCUUCUUUUGAUUCUUUGCUUUACUCUGACAUUGGCCUAGAAAGCUAAUGCCAUCCAUAUAUAUGUCCUAGGGCACUUCUAAGGGAGGUACUCUUUUAGAAUGCUGGAUUUGUUAUCAAAGAUUUCAACCCAUCCAUAAUCAUCUAGAUCAGAUUUUCCCUCACUGGAUUCUCACCAGUACCCAUCUUUGUAAGCUAUUUAGGAUUACUAUUUCAGGAUAGGAGACUCCCUUCCAUAUAUACUAAAAACCUGACUGACCCCUGGUUUGAUUGAGCAAAUGCAAUUAAUUCUUGAGAAAGAAUCCAUUAACAGUACUACCUUUGUGGAAGUAGCUUGUGCUCUAUGAGAUGUGUCCUUGUCUGUGGUAGUUAUUCUCCUCGGUACUACAAAUGCUUAAAUGAUCAGCACAUAACCAGAUAAUGCCUCUUAGGUUACUUAACUUUGCCCCAAACUGUUCUAGAAAGAACCUACCAAGAGGCUUUUCAUGAUUCAGGGUUCACUGUCUUUGGCAGGGCUCUAUUACCCUUAGGAGAAAUGUAAAUGAAGCUAUAAUCAGGAACCUUUCCUUAACUCAGAAACACUGCAGAUUCCUUUGCUAAGACACUAGCUUCCCAAGAAAAAUCCUUAGACUCUCUGGCCAAAGUCAUUCUUGACAAUAGAAUUGCUCUUGAUUAUCUUCUAGCUGAGCAAGGAAGUAUCUGUGCUGUGGCCAUCACCACAUGCUGUACCUAGACUGAUACUUCUGGAGAAGUUGAAACUCAGUUAUAUAAGAUCAUUGAGCAAGUCACUUAGAUUGAAAAGGUGACUCUCUAAGGGAGUUUUUCUUUGAUUUGGGUCUUGGGAACUAUUUCAAACAUUAGGAAUUACUCUGCUUAUCAUUAUCAUAAUAAUUUCUCUAAUGUUAAUUCUCUCAAAAGCUUUAAAUGCAUGUUGCAGCCAAUAACUUCCAAGCAAAUGACAUCCCUCAGACUGAAGUACUGAAGUAUCAGAAAAGGAAGGAAGAGAAUAAUUGACUUAAAAAUUGUCAAAACUGAAGUUGUGGCCUAUGAAUAUCACAGGGAUUUUACCACACUAAAGAGCAACAAAGCUGCAGAGCAGUAGCUAAGAGUGUUGCUAGUGACUUAAAAUAUGAUCACAUCCUUCAGUUAGGCAGAGAGUCUGAUCAAAAGGGGGAAAUAAUAAGAGAAAACCACAAACUCAAAAUGGUAUUACUUGUGGUAAAGCCCAUGAUACCAAACCUAGAUUUAACACCUAACCUAAGUGCAGUUUUAGCCUUCCAUAGAAGUGUAAUCUUUAAAUUUUUUUUUUUUAAUUUUACAGCUGCACCUGCAGCAUAUGUAAGUCCCUGGGCUAGGGAUGGAAACAGAGCUGCAGCUGCAGGCCUAUGCCACAGCUGCAGCAACAUCAGAUUCAAGCCAAAUCUGCAACCUGUGAUGCAGCUCAUGGCAGUGCAGGAUCCUUAGUGCACUGAGUGAAGCCAGGGAUUUAACUUGCAUUCUCAUAGAGACAACACUGGGUUCUUAAGCAGCUAAGCCACAGUGGGAACUCCUAGGAGUAUAAUCUUUUGUUUUGUUUUGUUUUGUUUUUGUUUUUGCUUUUUACUCAAAUGAAUUUAUCACAUCUGUAGUUGUAUAAUGAUCAAAACAAGCCAAUUUCACAGGAUUUCCAUCCCAUAACCCAAGCACAUCCCCCCACCCCCAAACUGUCUCCUCCAGAGACCAUAAGUUUUUCAAUGUCUGUGAGUCAGCAUCUGUUCUGCAAAGAAGUUCAAUCUGCCCUUUUUUCAUAUUCCACAUGUCAGUGAAAGGAGCAAUCUGCAUGAUAAAACCCUUGCCAAUCCCUUCACCCUCAAAAGAAGCCCUACUCAAAAGAACUUUUUCCUUUCUUUUGCAAAUAGUUCCCUUGCCCUAUCCUUCUUCCCAUUUUUAUGCACCAAUCAGACUGCACUUCUAGCAGCUAGACCAGGAUGCUGCCUAAUUCAUGAAUUGCCUAAUAAAACCAAUUAUAUCUUCAAAUUUACUCAUUUGAAUUUUUAAUACCUCUUAUCUAUAUCUAUAUCUUGUUGGUUCUGUUUCUGUGGAGAACACUGCCUACUAUAGGAAAUAAGACAGUGAUGUGCACCAGCAUGGUAACAAUAGAGUUGUAGAAAGAGGUUGGAUUCUGGAUAUAUUCUGAGGCUGAGAAAAUAAUAUUUGCUACUGGUUAGAAUGUGGGUGUGAGCUGAAUAAAAGAGACAGGUCACAUUUGAUUCAGAGGUUUUGGAGAGAGCAAAUGAAAGAAUAAAGUUACCAUUUACUGAAAUGGAAAGCCUGAAUAAGAAUGAGGUGAUAAAGAACUCGAUUUCACACAUAUUAAGCUUGAUAUGCUACUGAACGUCCAAGUCAGACUGAGUUGUCAGUUGGAUAGAAAAACCUAGAAUUCAGGGGAGAGUAUACAGCUGAAGAUAGACAUUUUGAAGUCAUUGACUUUAUAGCUAUGGCCUUUCGAGAUCACUCAGGAAGUGAGAAUUGAUAAGUGAAAAUAGUCUGAGCCCAAGGACUCUCCAAAAGUUAGUGAGGUUAGGAAAAUGGGGAGCAUUCCGGGGGAAAAAAAAGACUGAGAAGGAUCAUCAGUGAGGUAAGUAGGAAAGCAAUACAGAGACCAAGAAAGAUAUUCAAAAGAGAGGCAAUAAAGGAGCAGAUCGAGUUGUCUUGACAGGUGAAGAUAAUGGUGACAGAGGGUUUUCUCUUGGAUUUGGAAAUGUAGAGAUAACUGGUGACCAGCCCAAGGGCAGUGCCUGUGAAGAAGUAGAUACAAAAGCCUGACUGGAAUCAUUCACGGGAGAUACUAUGCUGUUUAUGAAAACUAUAUGGAUAAAGCUGCUAAUUAAAAAGGUCAGGAAUGAUAUAUACAAAAUGUAAGACAGUGUUAACAUUUUCUCUAAGGAAAGCAAUGGAAUGGGAUAGAAAGGAACACAGGAUCAUAUGAACAGAGCUGGUAAUAUUAAAGUUCUUAAAUUGGGUUAUUUGGCUUCAUAAGAUAAAAUGUGUUGCAUGCUGCCUUCUGGAUCAAACAAAGGUAACAGAAUUGAAAUUUAAUAUGAAUAAAGGGGAUGGGUAGAACUGGAAUCGGUGGUCCUAGACUGCUCUUUUGAAGCAUAUAUGUAAGGAAAUGGGCUAGAGGUUGAAGGUUGUAUAAAAUUAAUGUCUUUUUUGCCUUGGUUUUAAGAAGAUACAUAUUAAAUUAUGUCUCUAUGCAGUUGGGGAUGUAGACGGGGGAAAGCGAUGAAGAAAGACAGAGAGAGAUGGUAGAAUCAGGGCUUUAGGUGCUAGAAUCCUGACCUCCUGACUGGGCAUUGUCAAGAGUCACACUGCCUAUUUUCCAUUACUGCUUGUCCCUGUUGGGCUUUAUGCUGUAGUAAAUGGCUUUUUCCAAGAUGGUAAUGAUCAGCCAUGUGAUAUCUUAACAUCUUCCCAAUUUACAAACUUGGUAAAAAGAAAGAGAAAUGUCUCCUCUCAACUUUUGUAUAGCAAUUCCAGGAAGAAUUCUGUCUCUGCUUGAAUAGUAGUCAUUGAUGGCUAAACCUAAGUUGCAUGUCUACAUCUGUUGUUAGGCAAUAGUAUCUAUUAAAAGAAUAUAUCUUGUGCUGAGCAGACCACUAUAAUUAAUUAACCCAGUCUUCUAUAAUCAUUGAAUAAUUUCUAAAACAAAUAAAACCCCCAACUAUUUAUGAAAAUAUCAGGGAUUAAUAACAGAUGUGGCUGGGAAAACUAAGAAAGGAAUUCAUCCUUUCACCUUCCAAAGUGUGUAUUCUUUUUAAAUUUUGUAUUGUUUUCUUCACUAAGGGGACUGAGGGUUGACAUGGAGAUUCUUUUUUCAUUGGAAACUCUGUUUACUUAUAAGAACAUGUCGCAGAUGAAGGUAGGGUUUUCAAAGAACUGUAGGGAGAAAUAUUUUGGAAUCUAUCUGAAGAGAAUAGCACAGAGACUUUGGGAGAAUCCAGACUGUUGUACUGGGGCCAAGAAGAGAAAAACAAAGUGAUUUCAAUGGGUAUGUGUGGCAGUAUCUUAGAAAGAUAUAUUUAUUAAGAAAGAAUGGAGUUGCCUACUGGUGUGCUAGUAGUUAAGGAUCCAGCAUUGUUACUGCUGUGGCUUGGGUUUGAUCCCUGAUGUGGGCAUGGCCAAAAAAAAAAAAAAAAAGGGAAAAGAUGUAUGUGUGCACACACACACACACACAUAUACAUACACACACAUAUAUAAACAUAUAUAGAUACAUACAUAUAUAUAUAUAUAAGAAAUGAGGAGAAAUUUAAUCUAGAGAAUGACUUUGAUUUAGAUUCUUUUUAAUACCAUUUGAUUUCCCAUUGAUCACGGGCACAAAGACAGAAAAGAUUUUCCUUUUGAAGCAGUUCGGAUCUAAGCAUCUUAGUUUUCUCAGAGCCAAAUAAUAGCUUUUACCUCAGACCAAAACGGCUAAAAAGUUAGUUAUGAAACUGAUACAGGAAAUGUGUCUGAUCCUCCAGAAUCCAUUUUCUCAAUGCCAGUAGAAUCUUAUUUGAAUUGUGUGUAUAUUCACAGGAAAAUUCACAAUAGCUACUUCCUAUCUUUGCCAUUUGCCAGCUUUGCAUGGCUAGAGACUGCCCCAUGAUAUCUCCCAGCUCCUCCUCUUUUCCUGCCUCCCCUGUUUCCUGGUACCCACUCUAUCCCAGUUUACUCUGUUCUCUCCCAUCCCUUUCCUUAACUGCACUUGCUCCAUGAGUUUGUUUUCACUAACACUAUCAUGUUAGUGUUGCAACUAACAAGCUUUGCAACUUUCUAAAGGUUACAACCUGCAGCAAAGGAUUAAUAACAUGAUUGGAAACAAAACUGUAGUAACUGAAGGGAGAAAAAGGAAGCCCAACUACUCAUGGAAAUGGUUUAGUAAACUAAAACUAUGAUCAGGUUUGGACUGCCAAGAAAUGUGCUAGUCCCCAGAUAUUAUAGUUUUGAAUUGUGAGUACAAGUCUCUAGGUUAACUCCAGGAUCUAUGAAUUGGACAGACAAUGUUGGUGGGAUAAACAGAAAAUGGAUGUAAGUAUAAGACAAAACAGUCAAGUGCUUUAGGUUCCCAAAAGGUUUCCCAGUCUGAUAGACACACACCAUACCAUAGGUACUCUCCUCUCAGAAAGUGAGCUGAUGGCCCUGUAGCUUGCAUUGUAAACAAUUAUUAUGGACUCUUCUUUUGCUUAUACUCCACUCUUCAUGAGGUUCUCUCUGCUAACACCUUCAUUAGAUGGCAAAGGCUUUAAGCUAAUAUAUCUUGUUCCCAUCCAUUGCAAAAUGCUACUGUUUAUUUUUCCCAUAAUGCUGCUUUUGUAAUGACACCAGACUAUGAGAUGUUGGGGGUGGGGAAGGAGAAAUGAGACAAGAAAGGGAAAGGUCACAAAUUUUAAGCCAUGUGGGAUUUUUUAUUGUUAUGUUUGAGGUGUGUUCAGCACAGAGACAAAUUGUACAUUUACCGCAAGUCACCGGGACCUAAUGAGCUCCUAAUGUGUCCCAUACUUCAAGGUUUUUCAGAACAGGCCAGUAACUUAGCAACCACAGCUAAACCUUGACAGGAAUAAUCAUUAUUUGUGUUGCAGCUUCAGGCUUCCCCACGAUGGGUUUCUUUUUCUCUUUUUUCUUUCCUGUUGUUUUUUCAAAAGGACCCCAGAACCAGGCAGAAAAAGCUAAGGCUUGGAAGGGAGAAUUUCUCUCCUGCUGCUUUAGGUCAUAAAUGGCAUUGCUGAAACAUAAUCCUGGAGUUAAGAAUUACUUUCCAGAGACACUAAGGAAGGCAACGGGAAAAAGGCCAGGUAGUCAUUACAGGUGGGUGCUAGGUAGGUUGCCCACCUCAGCAUGUAUGAAUUCAACAUUUGCAGUUUGUGCAAUUCACAAAUCACUACAAAAUUCUGUAUAAAAUGGCUUAGUACUGCUGUGGUAUAAGUUUGUGACAUAAACUCUUCACCAAUAGCCAGGUGCAUGAUCACUGAGUGAACCUAGGUGACUGUCCAGCAUAUUUACUGCAGUCCAUGUCAGUUAUUCUCUACAGAAGC
rnacentral:lncRNA from 1 species